rnacentral:lncRNA from 1 species
AUCUAACUAAUACGUGUGAUAUAAUUUCGGCGAAUAAAGGAUGUCGACGAUCUAAAUGAAAGUUUGCUCCUAUGUGUUUGCCAGGAAAAGUUCUUAUGAAUUUUGUGACUCGUAAAUGAUGAACAGUGUCAUAUCUACUUAUCGAAAUGGUUCAUUAGCCGUGGGAUUCUACGAAGGAAACACUCGAACAGGGCGUAGUGGCAAUGUACUCCUAUUCAUGUGAACCCGACCAGAUCAACAUCAAAGGUUACUGUAACGUUGAAGUCGAAGGUCGGGAUCUGGAUGAUCACUUCUACCGAUUUAUCGAUGAACUGCUGUUUUCGUUGUGCGGGGAGCCCCAUCUGUUGGUUCGGAAGGUUCAG